UGGGGAAUUGUUCACAAUGGGCGCAAGCCUGAUGACGCAACGCCGCGUGGGGGAUGAAGGUCUUCGGAUCGUAAACCCCUGUCGAAUGGGACGAAAGACUCGCGAGUGAAUACUUCGCGAGAGUGACGGUACCGUUAAAGGAAGCCACGGCUAACUCUGUGCCAGCAGCCGCGGUAAUACAGAGGUGGCAAGCGUUGUUCGGAAUUACUGGGCGUAAAGGGCGCGUAGGCGGCCCUCUAAGUCAGACGUGAAAUCCCCCGGCUUAACCUGGGAACUGCGUCUGAUACUGGAGGGCUUGAGUAUGGGAGAGGGAUGUAGAAUUCCAGGUGUAGCGGUGAAAUGCGUAGAUAU
rnacentral:rRNA from 1 species